rnacentral:rRNA from 1 species
GUGCCAGCAGCCGCGGUAAUACGUAGGGUGCGAGCGUUGUCCGGAAUUAUUGGGCGUAAAGAGCUCGUAGGCGGUUUGUCGCGUCUGCUGUGAAAUCCCGAGGCUCAACCUCGGGCCUGCAGUGGGUACGGGCAGACUAGAGUGCGGUAGGGGAGAUUGGAAUUCCUGGUGUAGCGGUGGAAUGCGCAGAUAUCAGGAGGAACACCGAUGGCGAAGGCAGAUCUCUGGGCCGUAACUGACGCUGAGGAGCGAAAGGGUGGGGAGCAAACAGGCUUAGAUACCCUGGUAGUCC